GGAAGUAAAAAUCCAGUGUAUACUAAUAUCAUAAAAGAGUAAUGUUUGUAAGUGUGGUUGUAGGAGGUAAUCUCUGGAAUUACUGAACCGAUUUUGUAAAUUAUUUCACCAGUAGAAAGCUACAUUAUUUCUAAGUGACAUAGGCUAUAUUGUAUUAAAAAAAAAUUAGAAAUCCUUACAAAAAUUGUAAUAAGCUAUCCG